rnacentral:rRNA from 1 species
CGAAGGUGGCAAGCGUUACUCGGAAUUACUAGGCGUAAAGGGCAGGUAGGUGGUUCAGUAAGUCUGUUGUGAAAGCUCCUGGCUUAACCGGGAGAGGCCAACGGAUACUACUGGGCUUGAGUAUAGGAGAGGGUACUGGAAUUCCCGGUGUAGCGGUGAAAUGCGCAGAUAUCGGGAGGAACACCAAUGGCGAAAGCAGGUACCUGGACUAUUACUGACACUCAGCUGCGAAAGCUAGGGGAGCAAACAGGAUUAGAUACCCUGGUAGUCCUAGCCGUAAACGAUGCACAUUAGGCGUGAGGGGUAUCGACCCCUUCGUGCCGACGCAAACGCAUUAAAUGUGCCGCCUGGGGAGUACGGCCGCAAGGUUG